UUCACACAUGGGCCCAAUGAAUUUUGACAGACAGCAUUUGUGCACUUUAAGAACUGUGAUAAAGAUGCUGAAACCUUGAAAUGCAGGUGCGUUCUGCAGAGAGCUUCUUUUCAGUAAAAGGAAAAGAAUGCCUCUGAAACAAGCAUGUAGAAAAGAAGUGGGAAUAUGCUUUGCUUAAAACCAGCAGGCAGUAUUGCUCAGCAAGGAAAUGUAGGAGUUCUCAUGGAGCAAGUAGAGCAAGAGCUGGUGUCUGCUGCCCUGGCAUAUUAUGGCUUAUUGCUUUCUCCUGUGGAAGAAUGAUGGCUGUAGCAGCAGGAUCAGUCCACAGAAUGCAGAUAGUAAUUUUGGGAGUACAAAGGUUUAUUUGCACUUUUGGGAAGCCAUCUGGCAAUACCUUCCCUCACUAGUACUGUUGAGACUACUGAGGAAAGGUGUGUGUCAGGGCACUGUGCUGCAGUGAUGAAGGGAGGUAUCCCGCAACUGAGAUGGAUAGCUACAGUUUUGUGACCUAUGGGUAUGUACAUUUUCUUAUUCAUGCUGAAGAACCUAUUCACUUCUUGAUCAAACUGUAUUAGGUAAGAGUUCUUACUAUAAAAGAAAAUCCAAAGGAAUACUGUAUUCCAGAUGACUGCUCCAUGGAGCUGUCAGUAUUUGAGUCAUAGAAGCCAAAUAUUGUCACCAGAAGCU